GAUGAACGCUAGCUACAGGCUUAACACAUGCAAGUCGAGGGGAAACGGCAUUAAGUGCUUGCACUUUUUGGACGUCGACCGGCGCACGGGUGAGUAACGCGUAUCCAACCUUCCCAUGACUAAGGGAUAACCUGCCGAAAGGCAGACUAAUACCUUAUGGUCUUCACUGACGGCAUCAGAUGUGAAGUAAAGAUUUAUCGGUCAUGGAUGGGGAUGCGUCUGAUUAGCUUGUUGGCGGGGUAACGGCCCACCAAGGCAACGAUCAGUAGGGGUUCUGAGAGGAAGGUCCCCCACAUUGGAACUGAGACACGGUCCAAACUCCUACGGGAGGCAGCAGUGAGGAAUAUUGGUCAAUGGGCGAGAGCCUGAACCAGCCAAGUAGCGUGCAGGAAGACGGCCCUAUGGAUUGUAAACUGCUUUUGUAUGGGGAUAAAGUCAGUCACGUGUGAUUGUUUGCAGGUACCAUACGAAUAAGGACCGGCUAAUUCCGUGCCAGCAGCCGCGGUAAUACGGAAGGUCCGGGCGUUAUCCGGAUUUAUUGGGUUUAAAGGGAGCGUAGGCUGGAGAUUAAGUGUGUUGUGAAAUGUAGACGCUCAACGUCUGACUUGCAGCGCAUACUGGUUUCCUUGAGUACGCACAACGUUGGCGGAAUUCGUCGUGUAGCGGUGAAAUGCUUAGAUAUGACGAAGAACUCCGAUUGCGAAGGCAGCUGACGGGAGCGCAACUGACGCUGAAGCUCGAAGGUGCGGGUAUCGAACAGG
rnacentral:rRNA from 1 species